AGCAUAAUCUGGUUUAUCCUCAAACCGCAGUGAUCGACAGUAGUGAAAAUAUGAUGCAAACUCUGUAGGAUAGCCACGACACAAUGUCUAGAAAAGGAAAAUAUGUGUCAGUAUCAUUAUUAAAAAUCAUAGUGCUCACAAGAAAAAUAUUUGAACAUAAAAUGCCUCUAUUGAUGUUGAAACUUUCUUCUCACUGAUCCUCUCAUACUUCUGUUUCUUUGUCCCUGCUUUCAGCCCCUGCCAAGGAAGACUUCCUCUUAAGAAGUACAUUAGGACAUAACCCAGUGAUUCCAAAUCAUCCCUUCGGCUUUGUUCGAUGCCGAGGUGAGUAUUCAUGCUUGCAUAUCUGGCAGUUCCUGUCAAAUUUUUGUUUUCUCUAUAUGGAAUAUGCUGAUGAGUGGUGGAGUCCCUAAACUUCUUAGCCAGCCCAAAAUCAA
rnacentral:misc_RNA from 1 species